rnacentral:rRNA from 1 species
AGCUGCGGUAUUUUAACUGCACUAAGGUAGCAUAAUAAGUUGUCUUUUAAUAAAAGACUUGAAUGAAAGGUUUAACAAUAGAGGACUUUUCCCAGUAAACACCUAAAUUUAAUUUUCAGUAAAAAUUCUGGGAUGAGAUUAUUGGACAAUAAGACCCUAUAAAAUUUGAUUUCAUUUUAAGGGGUAGUUAAAAUACUUUGGAAUUUGGUUGGGGCGAUUUUUAUAUAAUUAUUAACUGUGAAAGAAUAAACUCAUUAAAUGAAAUUUGUGACCUUUUUUUAAGAUUUAAAAUUUAAAUUACUUUAGGGAUAACAGCGUUAUCAUUCUUAAAGUUCUUAUUGAAAGGGUGGUUUGCGACCUCGAUGUUGAAUUAAGGUUUCCUUUAAUUGGUGUAGCAGU